GUANGAGGCGAGCGUUAUCCGGAUUCACUGGGCGUAAAGCGCGUGCAGGUGGCGCGGUAAGUUAGGCGUGAAAUCUCCCGGCUCAACUGGGAGAGGUCGUCUAAUACUACCGUGCUUGAGAGCAGAAGAGGAAGAUGGAAUUCCCGGUGUAGUGGUGAAAUGCGUAGAUAUCGGGAGGAACACCAGUGGCGAAGGCGAUCUUCUGGUCUGUUUCUGACACUCAGACGCGACAGCUAGGGUAGUAAACGGGAUUAGAGACCCCGGUAAUCCUAGCCGUAAACGAUGUGAACUUGGCGUUGGUGGGUUAAACUCCAUCAGUGCCGUAGCAAACGCGAUAAGUUCACCGCCUGGGGACUACGGCCGCAAGGUUA
rnacentral:rRNA from 1 species